rnacentral:rRNA from 1 species
UACGGGGGAUCCAAGCGUUAUCCGGAAUUACUGGGCGUAAAGAGUUGCGUAGGUGGCAGGGUAAGUUGGUAGUGAAAUGGUGUGGCUCAACCACACGUCCAUUACCAAGACUGCUCAGCUAGAGGGCGAGAGAGGUAUCUGGAAUUUCCGGUGUAGGAGUGAAAUCCGUAGAUAUCGGAAAGAACACCGAUGGCGUAAGCAGGAUACUGGCUCGUUCCUGACACUAAGGCACGAAAGCGUGGGGAGCAAACGGG